rnacentral:piRNA from 1 species
UGGCAAGAUUUGAAAAGGACCUGGUC